rnacentral:rRNA from 1 species
UUUUGUAUAAUGGGUCAGCGACUUAUAUUCUGUAGCAAGGUUAACCGAAUAGGGGAGCCGAAGGGAAACCGAGUCUUAACUGGGCGUUAAGUUGCAGGGUAUAGACCCGAAACCCGGUGAUCUAGCCAUGGGCAGGUUGAAGGUUGGGUAACACUAACUGGAGGACCGAACCGACUAAUGUUGAAAAAUUAGCGGAUGACUUGUGGCUGGGGGUGAAAGGCCAAUCAAACCGGGAGAUAGCUGGUUCUCCCCGAAAGCUAUUUAGGUAGCGCCUCGUGAACUCAUCUCCGGGGGUAGAGCACUGUUUCGGCAAGGGGGUCAUCCCGACUUACCAACCCGAUGCAAACUGCGAAUACCGGAGAAUGUUAUCACGGGAGACACACGGCGGGUGCUAACGUCCGUCGUGAAGAGGGAAACAACCCAGACCGCCAGCUAAGGUCCCAAAGUCAUGGUUAAGUGGGAAACGAUGUGGGAAGGCCCAGACAGCCAGGAUGUUGGCUUAGAAGCAGCCAUCAUUUAAAGAAAGCGUAAUAGCUCACUGGUCGAGUCGGCCUGCGCGGAAGAUGUAACGGGGCUAAACCAUGCACCGAAGCUGCGGCAGCGACGCUUAUGCGUUGUUGGGUAGGGGAGCGUUCUGUAAGCCUG